rnacentral:rRNA from 1 species
GAUGAACGCUAGCGGGAGGCCUAACACAUGCAAGCCGAGCGGUAUUGUUUCUUCGGAAAUGAGAGAGCGGCGUACGGGUGCGGAACACGUGUGCAACCUGCCUUUAUCUGGGGGAUAGCCUUUCGAAAGGAAGAUUAAUACUCCAUAAUAUAUUGAACGGCAUCGUUUAAUAUUGAAAGCUCCGGCGGAUAGAGAUGGGCACGCGCAAGAUUAGCUAGUUGGUGAGGUAACGGCUCACCAAGGCGAUGAUCUUUAGGGGCCUGAGAGGGUGAUCCCCACACUGGUACUGAGACACGGACCAGACUCCUACGGGAGGCAGCAGUGGGAAUUUUGGACAAUGGACGCAAGUCUGAUCCAGCCAUUCCGCGUGCAGGAUGAAGGCCCUCGGGUUGUAAACUGCUUU